rnacentral:rRNA from 1 species
UACGUAGGGUCCGAGCGUUGUCCGGAAUUACUGGGCGUAAAGAGCUCGUAGGUGGUUUGUCGCGUUGUUCGUGAAAACUCACAGCUCAACUGUGGGCGUGCGGGCGAUACGGGCAGACUGGAGUACUGCAGGGGAGACUGGAAUUCCUGGUGUAGCGGUGGAAUGCGCAGAUAUCAGGAAGAACACCCGGUGGCGAAGGCGGGCUCUG